UGGGGAAUCUUGCACAAUGGGGGCAACCCUGAUGCAGCGACGCCGCGUGAGCGAUGAAGCCCUUCGGGGCGUAAAGCUCUUUCGACCGGAACGAUAAUGACGGUACCAUUUAUAAGCUCCGGCUAACUACGUGCCAGCAGCCGCGGUAAUACGUAGGGAGCAAGCGUUGUUCGGAUUUACUGGGCGUAAAGGGCGCGUAGGCGGCGCGGUAAGUCACUUGUGAAAUCUCUGAGCUUAACUCAGAACGGCCAAGUGAUACUGCUGUGCUAGAGUGCGGAAGAGNCAACCGGAAUUCUUGGUGUAGCGGUGAAAUGCGUAGAUAUCAAGAGGAACACCUGAGGCGAAGGCGGGUUGCUGGGCCGACACUGACGCUGAUGCGCGAAAGCCAGGGGAGCAAACG
rnacentral:rRNA from 1 species